CAUCCGCCACCAUGUUAGCCUUGCCCGGGUGGUAAAGUAUCGUCAAAUCAUAAUCCUUGAGUAGCUCCAACCAUCUGCGCUGCCUCAAGUUCAACUCCUUCUGAGUGAAAAGAUACUUUAAGCUCUUGUGAUCCGUAUAUACUUCACACCGCUCGCCAUAUAAGUAGUGGCGCCAUAGCUUCAAUCCAAAGACUACGGCCGCCAACUCCAAGUCGUGAGUGGGGUAAUUCCUUUUAUAAUCCUUCAAUUGGCGAGAAGCAUACGCGAUCACUUUCCCGUCCUGCAUCAAAACACAGCCCAAUCCAUUAAAGGAAGCAUCACUAUAAAUCACAUACCCUGCUCCAGUAGUCAGCAAGGUUAGGAUAGGGGCGGUCGUCAAUCGCUGCUUCAACUCUUGGAAGCUCCUUUCACACGCAUCAUUCCAAAUGAACUUGGUGCCCUUAUACGUGAGCCUCGUGAGGGGAGUAGAUAACUUUGCAAAUCCCUCAACGAACCGUCGAUAGUAGCCGGCCAAACCAAGAAAGCUCCGAAUCUCAGUCACGUUCGUCGGCCUCGGCCAAUCCUUGAUAGCCUCAAUUUUCCUUGGGUCCACGGCUAUGCCUGAUCCAGAAAUCACAUCGCCCAAAACGCCACCUCUCUAAGCCAAAAUUCACACUUUUUCAACUUGGCAUAGAGCUUCUUUUCCCGAAGCACUUGAAGUACAAGUCUCAAGUGCUCCUCGUGAUCCGCGUCACUCCGGGAAUACACUAAGAUGUUGUCGAUGAACACCACGACAAACCUGUCUAAAUAAGGCUUGAAAACACGGUUCAUCAAAUCCAUAAAAGCUGCCGGGGCAUUAGUAAGCCCAAACGGCAUAACAGUAAACUCGUAAUGUCCAUACCGUGUUCUAAAAGCCGUCCUUGAUACAUCCUCAGGUCUGAUCCUCAAUUGAUGAUAUCCCGACUGCAAGUCAAUCUUGGAAUAUACACAAGAUCCCUGGAGCUGAUCAAAUAGAUCAUCAAUCCUCGGUAAUGGAUACUUGUUCUUAAUCGUGACUUUAUUAAGUUCACGAUAGUCUACGCAUAGGCGAAGUGAUCCAUCCUUCUUCUUCACAAACAAAACCGGUGCUCCCCAAGGUGACACACUCGGUCACACAAAACCCUUAUCCAGAAGAUCCUGCAACUGUGCCUUCAGCUCCUUCAAUUCUGUUGGUGCCAUCCUAUAGGGUGCCUUUGAGAUCGGGGUAGUCCCGGGAACGAGAUCUACCACAAACUCAAUCUCCCUAUCAGGAGGCAUGCCUGGAAGCUCCGUCGGAAACACGUCUCCAAACUCCCGCACCACGGGGAUAUCCUCAAUCCUAGGGGCGUCAUCCACAUCCCGCAACACAACAGUAGCCAAAUAGGCUACGCAACCUCUACUAAUCAACUGCCUAGCUCGAGAGGAGCUAAUCGUCAUCGCAAACAGCGAACUCUGGCAUCCUCGGUACACAACCUCCGCCUGCCCUGGCUCUCUAAACGUCACCGUUCGAUCCUUGCAAUCGAUAGUGGCGUAGUACUUAGUCAACCAGUCCAUGCCCAACACUACAUCAAACUCCCCGAGUUUAUGCAACGCUAACAAGUCCACGGGCAUGAUCCAAUCUCCAACCCAAAUAGGGCAACUGGGGCAAAACUCCCGAAUGUCCAAAGAAUGAUCGGGUACAACAACUCGGCCCGGAUGUAACAAGGAUACAAGUGGGAUGCCAUGCAGCUCGGCAAACAGCCGAUCAAUGAAUGAAUGCGAUGCACCGGUAUCAAACAAAGCUCUAGCUCGAAUACCAUAAAGUAAAAUGAUACCUGCCCGACACAUCCGCAUGCCGCAGCCUCCGCGUACAUUGCGCCCGCUCGGAAACUGUUCGUGACCCCCUCCGCCGUCGCAAGAACUGGCGCGCCCCUGCCUGGUGAUGGGCAGAGAUGUCCCUGACUGGGACCUGGCAAGCUGGUGCAGAUCGCGCGAAGAUGGCCGCUGGGCAAAUGGACUCCUCGGCAGUCGACAUGGAAGUGGCCCUCCUGCACACAAGAAGCCCUCCCCUGCUGGCGUACACAUAGUCCGUGGAUAAUGAGGCGGGCACACAGAUCCGCAGCGAGGAGCCUGACGGGACGAUCGCGGUCCUUCUCGCUGAUAGCGAAGCCAUGUCUCGCGACUGGCUCCGGAUCUUGGCAGGGUGUCUUGGCGGCCUGCCGUGAAUGCGUCUGGCUCGCACCCUCAGCCGCGGCCUCUUGCCCUCCUUUGCUCCAAGACUCUCGCGACGCUCCGCAGAAUCGUCCCGCUCCUGCUCCAAAUCAAGGUCGAAUCCACAACUCCCGGUAGGUCUGGAGGUUGGAAGACAUGCACAACCGGCAGAUAGAAGGCCGCACCGCGCUCAGCAGAUGCGGGCCUUGUCCUCGUCGUCGCCUCCACAACAAACGUGUACAGAGUGUAGUAUCCGGGAGAAAUCACUCUCCGUACUCAGCACUGACGCCUCAUCUUGGCCAGCAGCUGCGCAUCCUGCUCCAUCUUACUCUUUGACGUGUAGAAAAGUGGCUGCCGCCAGAAGAAGCUUCCUUGAACUAAGUCCAAGGUAAUCGCUUGCCAGAUCCGGGUGUUGGGGUUGUCGCUGGAUAUUCAACCACCAACGGUUAGGCCUCGCUGUCAGAAAGUGGAGUGGCGAGCCAAACUCUUGUCCCGCAUCCUCCACAUAAGGUCUCGAACAGUUUCCCAUAUGGCAUCAACCACUUCUGACAAUCCAGUGGGUCGACGUUCUCAGAUCAAACACGUUCUCGACUGCACCUCCUGACUCACUGAGGCCGUCUCAUAAGCCCGAUCCGGUCGGCUCUCCUCGCCAUCACGGGGAGUAUGCGGCCACAUCGUUCGGUCUCCUGAACAGGUAGUGCGCCAACCACCUCCUCCCGAGGUGCGGUCGCCAGGCUGCACGUAAGAGCUGGCGCGGGGACUGCCGCCUCGGUGCGACGUCCACCACGGGUGGCUGGCGGUGUGGGAAACUUGGGUCUCCCUGAAACUGCCGCCUGCGAAGUAGGAGGUCUCAAGAUGCUCAUCCGCCCCUCCGCUGAGCACCUCAGCCGUCGCUGCGCCGCUGCCGUUUCUGCUGCCGGCAAACAGAUCAGUGAGGACGCGCAAGCUGGGCCUCAAGUCACGCGACCUCAUAGAUCCGGAAAUAGCGGAGGUCUCGCACCUCUCGGGGUGUGCCGCAUCAUCCGCCCCGCACUGGAGCGUUGUAAUCGCUAUUGUCACUACAAAACAUAAAAGCGGCAAGUUAGUAACCCACGCUAUCGUAACCCGCUCACUAUAGAUAAACCAAGAUCAUGCGAAAGUAAGAAUGUGCCUCCUUUACUAACUCACCGAUGUUUACGUUGUCGGCCGCCAACGUAACGGCUCGCGCGAGUUAGAAGCCAAUACACUCGAUCGAACUCUAACUUUUGUAGAUUAUCAAGACACACAAUCAGGAUACUUUUCGCUCACAACGUCAAACUAGCGCUCGUCUCUCACGCGCACUAUUUCCUAAUUAGUCCACCGCCUAAGGUUGCUAGUCCACUAAGACUUCAACUCUAGGCUUUGAUACCAAAUUAAUCUGUCACGCCUUGGACCGGCGGAUGCCCUCCGGUAGUCGUGCCGCACCGCCUAUGUCUACACAUAUUAAGGCGUCUACAAUAAAACGGAAGUCAAGAAAGUAAUAGUACAAUAGAGAUAGUAACAACUAAUGAUUUGAGCGAGUAAAGUUCUAUCAUCUACACCAAGGUAAAGAAACAAAGCUAGACAAUAAAAGAAACCAUAAGUAGUACACUAUCUGUCUCAAAAGUACAAAAAUGGUGGUCUCUAGUACACUGGUAAAACUCUCAACCUCUCGCAAAAAGAAAUAUAAAUCGAGAGGUAGACCACCUAGCAACUCGUCCUCGAAGGAAGCUAGCUUGAAGCAACUCCCUUCCCGCGAUCCCUGGCCUCACCCUGCAUGGAAGGCUCUAAAAAACACAUCGAGAAAAAGAGGGCGUGAGAACUAUAAAUUAUAGUUCCCAGUGGGCAAUUACUGACCUCAACUCAUUGCUCCACUAGGCCCCAAAAGAAAAAAGGGGGGGGGGGUAAAUCCAACAACUGGUAACGAGUAAAUUGCAUAUAUGAAAGCAUAAUUAAGAUGCUAAGCUACAAUUUGCAAUUAAACAUGGCAUUUAUAAUGCAACCUUACCUUGUCAUGGAUAAAAUAUAUCUAUAUGUCCCUAAGCAAUAUCUUGGUUUACUUUAUACAGAUAUGAAAGUGAUACUUUGUCAUGACUACAAUGCAUAUAAGGAUGCAAUAAACAACAUCUCCUAGCAUACUACAUGUAUGUAUGAAUACCCAAAUGUCCACAUCUAUGCUAGAAGCAAGCCCAAGUAAUUCAACUACUACUCUCUGUCUAGUAGUGAUUAUCACGCACUCAACAUUGUGUCGGUUUCCAUUUCCAAUUAGGGACCUACCCAAGGUAGUCCAGCUUGUGCCGCCUAAGUGCCUGUGGUAGCCCGACAUCCCUACUCUUGGAAUGUGUCUGUCCCACUCGACCCCGUAGGCUUCUCAACACCGCACGAGCGAACAAAAGUCGCGUAGGCUAACUCCGAAGUGCCGGCUUGUAGGGGGCGACCCUCACAAGCAUGUGCGAAUGAGCACAAAUGGCAAGCAAGCGUAGUCCAAGUCUCAAGUAUCCAAUCCUCAUGUCUCUAACAUGGUAUCGUAACUAGCAUCCCGAAGAUCUAGUCUAAGUCACAAGAUGAAGUUCCAACAUUCAUUACGCCUAGUGCCCCUUGAUGACACUUAGACAAUCUAAUGUUCAACAUAUACCCAAUCCCUCAAUGGCUCUAACCACUAGGUUCACACAUGUCCCGAGCUCAAUGCCGCUUGAUGACAUUAGCUCUCCAAUUCACAUACAUUCUAGUUCGAUAGCUCUAUAUGGCAAAUUUGUCAACUUUCAUGUCUCAAAUAAACUUUGGUUUAAAUGCAUGAAUCCAAUCUCAUUUACACUAUAGGAGCAUGAAACCACGUCUCAUAUAGAAUGCUAAAUGCAACUAUAGGCCUACCAAGCUACUCUCUACUACAUAGAGGUCCAAAAUUUCAUCAUAUAUAACAUAGGCCUUUUAAGCAUUCUAAAAUUCACAAUAAAUACAUAUAACAAGAAUAUGCAUGCCUUUUCAUUUAACGAUACUUAAUUAAGCACAAAUGAGAAUUUCUCAUUGUGUGGCUAGGUCAAACCCACCGAACCGUCGCGUAGGGCCUCGUUUCGCCGAACAAAGUUAUUCCCGAAUCUCAAAAUACCCUAAAAGGAUUGAGCAAAAAGAUACACGGGCAUUACGAUCAUCUUAUAAGAUCAAAUAUUAACCUAGAAGCAAAAGGGGUCAAAUCUCACCUCAAGAGAAGAAAUCUCUUCCAAAGCUCUAAAACAGAGCUAGAACCCUUCCACUCCAAGCCCAAAGAAGGUUCUAAACCAACUAAUUUAGCCCCAAAAGCCCUAGAUUCAAAAUACCCAAAAUAAGCCCUAAGUAUCAAAUCUAGGGUUUCAUCUUGAAUCCAUCAAUAAAAUUCAUAUUUAGAGGGAGAGAGCAAGUAGAUUACCUCUUAGAAGCUUCAAUCCAAGCUCUAAACUCUCCAAGUCCAAGGAUCUUCCCUCAACUUGGCUCCAAACCCAAGCUCCAAGCCUCAACCGAAGUGAGGAAGUCUCUAAUCAAGCAAAAGGGAGCUUAAUUUUGUAAAAAUCCAAGCAAAAUCAAGUAAAGGGAAUGGAAGAGUGUGGAGGGCUCCCUUACCCUUCUCCUUGCUGGUGCCAAGCUCAGGGAGAGCCCUAGGGGUGUGGGGGUACUAAUAGAGAUGCCACAAUCGCGAAAAACCCCCUGCAGUUCAAACUGCUCAGAAUCUACCAAAGUGUACCGGUACACGGGAAAGUGUACCGGUACAAAUCCUACGAAACUGCAAACCCGAGGCUCGGAUUUGAAAUUCGCCACAAGUGUAUCGGUACAGCCAUCAAAAGUGUACCGGUACAAAAUGUGUACCGGUACAGCCAUCGACCUGUCAUCGGUUACACUUCGUGCAGAAUGCAAUCCGAGGGUAGGCUAAGUCCAACUCUUUGGUGACCUUAGCGCUACAUAAAAUACCACAAUUCUCGGGAUGCGAGCCAUGGGUUGGAACACAGUCAACGACCCGCUAGAAAGUCUGGAAAAACUCGGGACACCGUCCAAACACUCGAACCUCGUAAUUUGCAAAGGUCCAGUGUGUCACAGGUACACAAUGCAAUUUUCAGACUUUGCACUGUUUCGGGUUCCGCAGAGUUCCGAAGCACUUUCUAAUCAACUAAACAUUGAUAAUAAUGAUUCUAAUGCCUAUAACGAAGUAUGAAUCACCAUAACAUGAAGUAAAGACUUUACCUGAGCAUCGUGAUUCAUGUCGUGAGUUAUCUCCGCCAUCUCCGAAGUCUUGGAUUUUUCAUUCUUCGACGAUAUACUCCGAAACCUUCAAGACUCCGACUAAAUCCACGAAACUUGCCAACAUACAAGACUUAACAGGCUCACUUAAUACGUCUCACCCAACCUUCCCGUACUACUCUAUAUUAACAUCCACCCAUUUGGCACCCCGGGGGUACAAAGGGGCUCAUCGAGGGGUACAUUUUUCCACUCCUCACACCCAUGGGAAAAUAGGCCACCGACUUAUGUCCGACACGCGUCCGGCUCAAUCUAUCGCAUAAGCGGCUAUGAUUAGUAAAAUCCUAUGUCCCCUUGGAUGCGUAGCACAAGUGAACCCACAGGUAGCCAACCGGAUGCCAAUUUACAAGUAAUGCCCAUCCCAAAGAAGGAAAAUCCUAUGUCGACGUCAUGCCCGACACAACAUUUACAGACUCUUUACAAACUCAAUGUUAUUGACAAAGUCAGGGCCAUUGACAACUAUAAAGGACCCUGACAGACUCCCCCACUCGAUUUCUCGACGCCCUCGUCGAGGUCUUCAGCUUGUACCUUCAUGCGUGCUUUGUUCGUCCCGACGUAUCCGCCGAGGUCUUCUGCUGGUACUCCCUGAUCCGGUCUUCUUCAUGCCAAAGUGCAUCUCACGCUCCCAACUGGCUUCAGCCUUUGGCAAGUUCUUCCACUGGACGAGGAACUCCCUUUCAGCUGCUCCACUACGUAGCUUCCGCACUCUGUCCGCCAGAAUCUUGUCAACUCGCCUCUCGACUGAGAAAAUUGUGGGGGUGGGGCGAGUUGAGAUGUUCCUUGAGGGAUCUUCGCGGUCGGCAUGGUAGGGCUUCAGGUAGCUCGUAUGGAAUACCGGGCGGAUUUUAAGCCACACCGGGAGCUGCACGCGGUAGGAGACCUUUCCCACCUUGCCCACGAUAGGGAAGGGGCCUUCAUACUUCCGGACCAAACCUUUGUGCACCUUCCGAAACACUCUCAAGGAUGCUGGUUGGAGCUUGACCAGCACGAGGUCGCCUUUGCUGUAGUAUCGAGGCCGCCUAUCCUUAUCGGCUCACUUCUUCAUAGUUCUUGCCGCCUUCUCCAAGUUGGCUCGGGCGAUCUCAGCAUUAUGAUGCCACUCCUUGGCAAGGUGGUAAGCUGAGGGGCUGCUGCCGGUAUACCCGAUGACCAAAGUAUGUGGUGUAGAAGGUUGCUAGCCGGUGAUGAUCUCGAAGGGGCUUUUGUUGGGCGCAGAGCUCCACUGCAGGUUGUACGAGAACUGGGCUACAUCAAGUAGCAUCACCCAGUCUCGUUGGUUGGCACUUACGAAGUGCCGAAGAUAUUCUUCCAACAGAGCAGUUAUUCUUUCAGUCUGGCCAUCAGUCUGGGGAUGCAGGCUGGUAGAGAAGUAUAGUUUGGAACCCAAGAGCUUGAAGAGCUCCGUCCAUAACCGCCCGAGGAAGCGAGAAUCCCUAUCACUGAUGAUGUUCUGUGGGACUCCCCAAUACUUCACUACAUGCUUCAAGAAUAACCGCGCCGUCUCCUCAGCAGUACAACUUAUGGGUGCGAGGAUGAAAGUGGCAUACUUCGAAAAUUGGUCCACUAUGACAAGAAUCGAAACGAACUCCCCCACCUUUGGCAGACUGGAGAUGAAGUCCAGGGAGACUCUCUCCCAUGGUCGCUCCGGCACUAGUAAAGGCCCCAACAGCCCACACGGCUUCUCUCGCUUUACCUUGUCUUGCUGGCAUGUGAGACAGGUGCGUACAUAUUCUUCGAUGUCCUCCCCCAUUUUUGGCCAAUAAUAGGCCUGCUCCAUAAGGGCCAGGGUUCAAUGUACACCUGGGUGGCCUGCCCAUAGAGUGUCAUGGCACUCAUGGAGCAGUUCUCUCCUCAGGUUCCCCGCCCGCGGCACGAACACUUGAUCCCCCUUUGUUUUGAUGAGGCCGUCCUGGAUCCAGAACCUUCGCGCCUUGCCAUCGUCAAUCAGUUGCUUGAGAGUCACUGUCAUGGGAUCCUUCUCCAACCCUUCACGGAUCCUCUCUUGCAAAGUCGCUUGUACUUGACUUUCCCUCUCAUUGGACAGAGUUUUAAGGGCAGCAAGUUCGGCCUUUCUAUUGAGAGCAUUAGCAACUUGGUAACAUCGUCCUGGCUUGUACUCCAAGACCAUGCCGAACUCUGCUAGGAAGUCUUGCCAUCUCGCCUGCUUCGAAGUGAGCAUCUUCUGAGUCUAAAAAUAACUCAGGGCGACGUUGUCCGUCUUGACCACGAAUCGGGAUCCAAGGAGAUAGUGCCUCCACACCCGGAGACAAUGCACCACUGCUGUCAUCUCCUUCUCAUGGGUCGCGUACCGCCGCUCGGUGUCAUUCAGCUUUCGGCUCUCGAAGGCUACAGGGUGGCCAUCUUGUACGAGUACCCCUCCAAUAGCAUAAUCCGAGGCAUCCGUAUGAACUUCGAAUGGGAGGGAGUGAUCAGGCAGGCGUAGUACUGGCUCCUCCAUCACCGCAACCUUCAAGUCAUCAAAGGCUUUCUAGCACUCGUCGGACCACCUCCAAGUCCGAUCCUUUCGCAGCAAGUCCGUCAAUGGCCCGGCCCUCCGUGAGUAGUUGCCAAUGAAUCGCCGGUAGUAGUUGACAAAUCCAAGGAACGAGCGUAAUUCCGUCACCCUUGUCGACGCUCUCCAUUCUUUUAUGGCACGAAUUUUCUCCUCAUCCAUUCCGAUUAGGCCACCACCCACUCGAUGGCCCAAGAACAUGAUCUCCUUUUGAGCGAAGUAACACUUCUCCUUCUUCACAUAGAGAGAGUGCUCCCUUAAUGUUCAAAAGAUAAUGCGGAGGUGCUCAACAUGUUCUUCCAAGGUCUUGCUGUACACGACAAUGUCAUCCAGAUAGAUCACCACGAACUUGUCCAGAUAGUCAUGAAACAGUUGGUUCAUCAAGGUGCAGAACGUAGCUGGGGCAUUCGUAAGACCAAAUGGCAUCACAAAGAAUUCAAACGCCCCAUACCUUGUGACGCAUGUUGUCUUUGCCUCGUCACCUUCCGCAAUCCGGACCUGCCAGUAACCCGAUCGCAAGUCCAUUUUGGAGAAGUACCGCGCCUUCCCCAAUUGAUCAAACAAAUCCGCAAUGAGUGGGAUUGGGUACUUAUUUUUGAUGGUCGCCUUGUUCAGAGCUCGAUAAUCCACGCAUAGCCGCAGACUGCCAUCAUGCUUUUUCUGGAAAAGUACAGGAGCUCCGAACGGUGCUUUCGAGCUGCGAAAAGACCGCCUUUAAGCAGCUCGUCUAGUUGCUUCCGAAGUUCCGCCAACUCCGGAGGAGACAUACGAUAAGGAGAGCGAGCCGAGGCCCUCGUGCCAGGCUCGAGCUCAAUCCGGUGGUCUACUGCUCGUCGGGGAGGUAAGGAUUUCGGUAGCUCUGGGGGCAUGACAUCCUUGAAUUCCUUCAAGCGCUUCGCCACUUUAGGUGGCGUCGGAGUCUCGUCCCCACUCCCAGUUUCCAACUUCAAAGCCGCCACAUAAGUCAGCUUGCCUCUCUUCACACCCUUCUUGAGCUGGAGCGCUGAAAUAUGUCGGGGAUCCGUUGUCAUCCGCACCACCAGAACGACACAUGGAGAUUCAUCUCCAAUCAUGCAGAGGGCAUCCAAGAAUGGCAUGGGUACCCCUCUAGACAUCUGGAGGAACUCCAUCCCGAGGAUAACUUGGAAAUCAUCCAGCGGCACGGACAUAAAAUUGGCUUUACCCGUCCAGAAGCCGAUGCUAACAGGCACUUCCUUCGCAAGACCCGCAAUAGGUUGGGCCUUCGAGUUCACUGCUUUUAUGCGACUUCUGCCCUUGCUCAGCGUAAGUCCGAGACGUUCAGCUUCACCCGUCGCAAUGAAGUUGUGAGUAGAACCUGUAUCCACCAUUGCCUUAGUUGUCUUGCCGUUGAGCUUGAUGUCCACAUACAUCAGCUCACUAUGCUUACUCUCCUUUGGAGAGGGGGAUUGCGCCUUCGGUAGUGGGGUCUUCUCUUUCUCCCCCACUUGACCUUGAGUGCAUUGAGCAACCAGAGUGCCCCCAUCCGGAUGCUUCCGGUCUCCGCUGCCUCUUCCUCUUCGUCGGAUUCGGGGUUCUUCGUCUGCACCGCAUUGAGGGACUUCCUUUGAGGGCACGAUUUGACAAAGUGUGGACCCCCGCAAAGGAAGCAACCCUCUUCAGGGCUCUUCAAAUUCUUCAGACUCUUUGACCCUGCCCUUUUUCGCUCCGUGGGUGCCGGUCCCUUACCCUUUGCCUUGUGGUUGUGGGUCUUGGGGUUGCUGCUCAUGGGUUUCUUCUUGGGGUGUUCCGGCGUCGAGUAGUCGGUCAGCCGCUCAGCCGCCCCCUGGGCCGCGGCUAAGUCCUUGAUAUUCUGGCGACGCAGUUCUGCCUGCGCCCAAGGCUUCAGUCCUUCGACGAAGUGAAAGAGUUUGUCUUUCUCGGACAUAUCUCUAAUAUCGAGCAUCAACACGGAGAAUUGCUUGACAUAGUCUCGAAUUGACCCCAUCUGUUGGAGCCUUCGCAAAUUCUGCCGCGCGAUAAACUCGACAUUCUCAGGAAGGAACUGAGCCUUUAACUCCUUUUUUAGGUCCUCCCAAGUGUCGAUGGUACAGCGACCUCCCUGAAUGUCCUCAUAUCGGGUCCUCCACCAUAAUUUGGCAUCCCCGUCGAGGUAUAUCGUCGCGAACGUGACCUUCCACUCCUCAUUGUCGGGUUGGACGACACGGAAGUACUGUUCCAUGUCAAAUAGAAAGUUCUCGAGCUCCUUUGCAUCACGAGCUCCACGAAAGCUUCGCCGGUUCCGGCACUCGAACACGCCCCGCAUGACCCCCACCUUGGGUUGCGGGAGGAGCAUUACUCAUGGCCCUUGUCAGCAGGUUCACUCGUGCGAACAAUUCGAUGGUCUGCUCCUUCAAGUGAUGGACCGCCUCCUUCGUAUUAUCCUGUAGCUCAGCCACUUGCUCGACGAGUUAAGCGAGCGUCACCUCCAGCAUGGUGACCCGCUCCUCAUGCACGGCCACCUUUGUCACUUUCUCGUCGAGUCGAUUAAGCUGGGCUUCCAAGUUGACAAGUCGUUCCCGAUUGCUCCUGUGCCUAUCUGAUUCGCCUUGUCCUUCGUUAUCCGCCGUGCCACAUGCUGCGUUAUCGAUGGUUGCACCACCGUACUUGUCUCUACUACAGGGGCUUUGCUCCGACCCAUGUCGUCUCCGUCGAUCCGGGCUCUGAUACCACUUGUCACGGGUCUAAUGACUUUUUGUCGAAAAGCCCGCGCAGCGCUCGUCUGUCACCUGUACAAACGAGCCAGCCAAACCGUCCCGAAGCACAACUUCGCAAAUUGGCAACGACCGAGAAUUGAGAGCAAGCACAUAAAGGAAUCCUGCAAAGUGGCACAAACAAAGAGUAUUUUAUUGAUAACGAAAAGUUGGACUACAAGCGAUAGGCACACGACUCGACUUGGUUGGGCAUGGCCGGUGAGGACAAAAUGAUCACCAAGACACUAUGCAUUUAGCGAAGUGGGCUCACUUAAUACGUCUCACCCAACCUUCCCGUACUGCCUUAUAUUAGCAUCCACCCAUUUGGCACCCCGGGGGUACAAAGGUGCUCACCGAGGGAUACGUUUUCCCACUUCGCACACCUAUGGGAAAAUAGGCCGCCGACUCAUGUCCAACACGCGUCCGGCUCAAUCCGUCACAUAAGCGGCCAUCGUUAGUGAAAACCUAUGUCCCCUUGGAUGCGUAGCACAAGUGAACCCAUGGGUAGCCAACCGGAUGCCAAUUUACAAGCAAUCCCAUCCCAAAGAAGGAAAAUCCUAUGUCGACGUCGUGCCUGACACAACAUUUACAGACUCUUUACAAACUCAAUGUUAUUGACAAAGUUAGGGCCAUUGACAACGAGAAAGGACCCUGACACUACGGCAUCCCAUUUCGGCGCCCAAUCCCGCAAAGGCGAGCUUAUGUCGCGAUGGCUAUCUCCGGAGUGCCAGCUUGUGGGGAGCGACCCUCACAAGCAUGUGCGAAUGAGCACAAUGGCAAGAAAGCGUAAUCAUCCAUCUCAAGUCUAAUGUCAUCAUAUCUAAAACAUGGAAUAAAGGCUAAUGUCCCAAUGGCCUAUCACUAUGUCACCAAGUGAGAGUUUGUUCGUUUACUAAGUUGAAUGCCACUUUAUGACAUUUAUGUCCACUAUGUCACGCAUGAGUUCUAUGUCUAAGAGUAUAUCAUACUUGUCAUUUUUACUAUAUGAAACAUAAUUUUAAGCCAUAUAGAAAAAUGCUAUUCACUUGCAUGAAUACUAUAUACAAAUCUCCCUGCUACAUAGAGGUAAUAUUUCAUAACACAUCACGCAUGCAUUUUAAGCAUUCUAAAAUUCACAUAUUCUUUAUCUAGCAUGAAUAUGCAUGAAUUCUAUAUUUAUGACAAGAAAAAUAACAUAGGGGGUGUUCAACCAUUUCGGUGAGGUCAAACCCACUAAGAACUCCUCGAAUCCCCUUCGUUUGUGCUAACGAAGAUGUCCACUAGAAGGUUAGACGUAAUGAACGAACACCUUACGAGUUCAUCUUUAACCAACUCAAGAAAAUGGCAAAACUCACCUAAAUGUUGGGAAAAACCUCUCAAAUCCCAAAUGGAAACUAGAGCACUUCUAAACCAAGCUAGAGGAAGGUUCUAAACCAAUCAAUUGAGCUCCAAAAGCUACGAAUCAAAAAUUUCCAAAUAAACCCUAGAUUUCUCAUUCUAGGUUUCAACAUGAAGAAAUCCACCAAAACUUGAUCUAAUGAGAAGAUCAAAACCACUAACCUCUCUUGAAGUCUUGAACCUAGCAAGAAAGGUGCUAGGGUUGAAGUUCCUUCCCAAACAAGCUCCAAUACUUCUCCAAUGGUGGAAAGUCAUCAAAAUGCCAAAAAGAAGCAAAAAGGGUGAUUAAUCCACCAAAACCCAAGCAAAAUGCAACCAAAACCAAAAAGUAGAAGAGUAGGAGCUCCCUACCUAUUACUCCUGUGUUUCUAAGCUUAGGAAACCGAGCAAGGGGCGUGGGGUAUCUUAUAGUGUUGCUACAAUUCCAAAAACACCCCUUAAAAAUAAGCAGUUCUCAUCUGCACUCCGUACCGGUACGUGGGAAAGAGUACCGGUAUCAAGCAGCAGCCCGCGUAAACCCGAGCCUCGGGUUGGCGAGAAAACGCACUGGGUACUGGUACCAGCCCGAUGAUGUACCGGUACCAGGUCCAGUACCAGUACGGGGCCAAUGCAGUACCGGUACUCUGCCCAGCAGAGUCAAACCAGAGAGCAAACCACAUACCCUGCUCCAGCAACGGGCAGGGUUAGGAUCGGGGCGGUCGUCAAUCUUUGCUUCAACUCUUGGAAGCUCCUCUCACACGCAUCGUUCCAAAUGAACUUGACGCUUAAAUGAACUUGACGCCUUUAUGCGUGGCCUCGUGAGGGGAGAAGAUAGCUUAGCAAACCCCUCGACAAAUCUCCGGUAGUAGCCGGCGAAUCCAAGAAAGCUCCGUAUCUCCGUGACGCUUGUUGGUCUCGGCUAAUCCUUGAUAGCCUCAAUUUUAUUAGGAUCCACGGCUAUACCCGAUCCCGAAAUCAAAUGUCCAAGGAGUGCUACUUCUCGAAGCCAAAAUUCACACUUUCUCAACUUGGCAUAAAGCUCUUUUUCCCGAAGUAUUUGAAGUACAAGCUUCAAAUGUUUCUCGUGAUCUGCAUCACUUCAGGAGUAAACCAAGAUGUCGUCGAUGAGCACGACGACGAAUCUGUCUAGGUAAGGCUUAAAAAUAUGGUUCAUUAGAUCCAUAAAAGCUGCCGGGAUAUUAGUGAGCUCGAACGGCAUAACUGUGAACUCAUAAUAUCCAUACCGUGUUCUAAAAGCCGUCAUCGAUACAUCCUUGGGUUUGAUCUUUAACUGGUGGUAUUCCGACUGCAAGUCUAUCUUGGAAUACACACUUGAUCCCUGAAGCUGAUCAAAUAAGUUAUCGAUCCUCGGCAACGGAUACUUAUUCUUGAUCGUGACUUUAUUAAGUUCACGAUAAUCUACACAUAGGCGCAGUGAUCUGUCCUUCUUCUCGACGAACAAAACUGGUGCUUCCUAAGGUGAGACGCUUGGUCGAAUGAAGCCUUUGUCCAGAAAAUUCUGCAGUUGUGCCCUCAGCUCCUUCAGCUCUGCCGGUGCCAUCCUAUAGGGCGCCUUGCAGAUUGGGGUAGUCCCAGGGACGAGAUCUACCACAAACUCAAUCUCCCUAUCAAGUGGCAUACCCGGUAGCUCAGCUAGAAACACAUCCUGAAACUCCCGCACCACCGGGAUAUCCUCAAUCCUAGGGGUGUCAUCCUCACCCCUCGGUACAACACUAGCCAGAUAGGCUAUGCAACCCAUAUGAUCAGCUGCAUAGCUCGAGACGAGCUGAUCGUCAGCGCAAAUAGAGAACUCUGGCAUCCCCUAAACACCACCUCAGCCUGCCCUGAUUUUUUGAAAGUAACCGCUCGAUUCUUACAAUCGAUGGUGGCAUAGUACUUGGUCAACUAGUCCAUACCCAAGACAACAUCAAACUCCCCCAGCUUGCGCAGGGCUAGCAAAUCCACGGGCAUAAUCAAGUCUCCUACCCGAAUAGGGCAACUGGGACAAUAAUCUCUAAUAUCCAAAAUAUGGUAGGGUACAACAACAUGUCCCGGAUGUAACAAAGUAACCAACGAGAUGCCAUGCAACUCGGCAAACAGCCGAUCUAUGAAUGAAUGUGAUGCACCGGUAUCAAACAAUGCACAAACUCUAAUGCCAUUAAGUAAAAUGAUACCCGCGACUACAUCCUCGGCUGCUGCCGCCUCCUCGGUUUAAGUGGCAUGCAUACGCCCACUCGGGGCCUGUCGAGAUCCCUCGCUCUGACGCUGGACGAAUGACCGUCCAGGCUGAUACUGUGCCGAUGGAGUCCUCUGGCUGGCGGCUGGUAGAGCCGGUGUCGAUGCAGUCGAUGGUGCCGGUGAUGAACCCUUCGGGCACUCGGUCCGGAAGUGGCCCUCCUGGCCACUCAGAAAACACCUCCCUCCCCGCUUCGAGCACUGCUGUGGAAUAUGGGGACCUCCACAGAUCACGCACUGGGGAGGUCGGCGUCGAUCAGAACCUCCUUGCUGCGCUGCCGAGCCGCACCCACGCUGCUGGCUCCUAGGGUGCUUCGGCGGUCUCAUAAAGUGCGUCUGGCUCGCACUCUCAGCCGCGGGCCUCUUGCCCUUACCCUUGUCCAUGCCUUCUCGCCGCUCCUGAAUAUCCGCCGCGCCGCUCUCCACUAUGAGUGCGCGGUUCACCACCUCCCGGUAGGUUUAAAGGUUAGAGGAUUGCAGAAACCGGAAGAUCGACGGUCGCAAUCCACACUCGAAGAUGCGAGCCUUGUCCUCGUCGUCCCGCAGGACGAAAGGCACACAGUGUAUGAGCUGAGAAAACUCCCUCUCAAACUCGGUUACGGUUCGGUCUCCCUAGCGCAAAUUGUGCAAGUCCUGCUCCAUCUUCUUCUUGACACUGUCAGGGAAGUAGUGCGCCAAAAGAAACUCCUUGAACUUCUUUUAAGUAAUGGCCGCAAGGUCGGUGUUGGGGUUCUCCUGGAUGUCCAACCACCAAUGGUAGGCCUCGCCGUCAAAGUGGUGAGUGGCGAGCCAAACUCGAUCCCUCUCCUCCACGAAGGUGUCACGGAAGAGCUUCUCUGUGUGCAUCAACCACUUCUCCACGAUCCAAUGGUUGACCUUCUCUACGUCGAAGAUCCAGGGAUUGUACCUCCUGAACUCAUUGAGGCGAUUCAUGAGCCGGUUCGCUCUGCUCUCUCAACUAAUGUGGAAAAAACUGCCUCCGCCGGAGGCACCUGAGCUGGUGGUGCCACCACAACCUCCUCCCGAGAUGCGACCGCAGGUGUCGUCCGAGAUGUGUCCAGGACGGGGGACGACACCCUGGGUGCGACCACAUCCACAGGCGCGGGUGGUGUAGGAAUCUGAGCCUCCCUAACCGCCGCCUGCUGCAGUAAAAGGUCCUUCAAGCGCUUCAUCCGCUCCUCCUGUUGGCGCGCUGCCUCUGUCUACUGUCGGGCCAUCUCCGCCUGCUGAGUCACCAAGUCGGUGACGGCCGCAAGCUGGCUCCUCAACUCACGGACCUCGUCGGAUCUAGAGGUAACGGAGGUCUCGACCUCCUCAUGGUGUGCUGCAUUAUCCGCUCCAGCAGCUUGAGAGCGUGUUAUCGGCAUCUCACUACAACAUCAUAAAAGCGGAAGUUAUUAAAACGCACGCUAUCGAAUCCCCGCUCAAGUAAAUAAUACCCAAAUCAUGCGAAAGUCAGGAAGUGUUCUUCACUACUAACUCUCGAUGUUACGUUGUCGGCGGCCAACGUAACCCUCCGCGAAGUUAGAAGCCAUACACUUCGAUUAAAUUCCAACUUUUUAGAGUUAUAUUACAAUCCAAUCGUGAUACUUUCAUUUACAAGUCAAAUAGACCUCGUCUCUCACGAGCCUAUUUCCUAUAGUCCAACCGGCCUAAGGUUUGUUAGGUCCACUAAGACUUAACCCUAGGCUCUGAUACCAAAUUAAUCUGUCAUGCCCUGGGACCCAGCAGUAACCCGCCUGGCACAUGCCCAGACCCGCCAUACGUCUAAAACAUAUAAGGCGUCUACAAUAAAACGAUAAAUAAAGCAAGAUAAAAGAACAUCUAGGAGUAUUAGUGGAAAGUACAACUAGAAUCAACAACAAAGGAAUAGACAACAGGCUAAAACCCACUAAGAAAAGAACCACAAAGUAGUAAACCAUAAGGAAAAACAAUAACAAAUCCGAAGCACCAAUGCUAAGAGUAAUACAUAGGUGGUCUCUAUACAUGGAUACAAAACCUCUCUCUCUCUGCAAAAACAAAAGAGAGAAAAACCACCUAAGCAGAAAGUAAAUCCUUGCUAUCUAGCUACGCGACCCCUUUGCCACGAUCCCGUGCCUCCACUGGUGCUGAAGGCUCUGAAAAAAAAUAUAAAACAGAGGGCGUGAGAACUAUUAAAUAAUAGUUUCCAGUGGGUAAUUACUGUCACGACCCGUUACCACCCGCCUAUUUGGCCGAGGUCGCGGCGCCGCCGACAGACCGCCGAACGGACAAAGUUUCCUCUGUACGUCCUAGGCGUCGCAAUCGAUACAAGUGCAAGAAGUUCCAACCAGGAACAGUAUUCAAGCAAGAUUGCAUAAGGAAGGUAUCAAACAACAUAACACAUCCUAUGUUAUUACAAACAUUCGUCACAGUUUUCAUUUUACAUUACAUUCAACUUCCAAAUGCAAUUAAGUUAUUACAAUUAUUAUUACAAGUUUGAUACAUUGUGUUCUUUUCCCUUUUUCUUAUACCCUAGACUAUGCCGACUCGGGGUACGGCUAUCUCUGGUCUCUGGGGUAGGGCGCUAUCUAUGGAGCUACGCCGUUGCCUCGCGCCGCCGCGUUGCUAACGUGCGAACCUGUAAUACCCCAAAACAACGUUGGGUGAGAACCAACUCCAUGAUUCCCAGUGGGUACGACCACCCAAGGGAAAAGCUCGACCGAUAGGUUCAAGGAGGCACUGCAAUCAUGUUAGUCCAAAACAUCUACAGAUAUAUAUAUCGCAAUGUAAUUAUGCAACUAACAGAUAACAUGCCUCGCAAUAUGCAAUAUGAAUAUUAUGCAACUAUGCAACUGUAUAAACAACUAGUAGAUAUGUUGAUUCUACAUUCACUUUGCUAACUUCAGCUCAUUUCAUUCAAUUCUAAGGUAUCUAUUAUCUUAGGUUCUCAACUCAAGUUCAACUUUGCUUCUAAGGUCUCUUUUACCUUAGGUUCUUGCCUCAAUCACUGGCUUAUAAGGUUUCCAUUAACUUAAUCAAGCUAACCACCCGAUUCGGCCUCGAGUCAAUCAUUCGCCGAUAGUCCGGGCACUAGCUGCAACUCAGCCUGGCUGCCGUCACAGCCUACCGCAAAUCUGACUUAACCAUCUGGCGGCGAACUCAUCGCAUCGAAUCCAACAACAACUAAAGUCAUGAUUUAGCCAUCUGGCGGCGAACUUAUCACACCCCACCCAACAAUGGUUCAAGUCGUGACUUAGUCAUCUGGCAGCGACCACAUCGCUCUUACCAAGGAAGGUUCAAGUCAAUCUAGGCGGCAUCAUCCGAUAAGGUAAUGGGCGAGGAGAACCACACAUACCCAAUUCCAGCUUAUUCUCAUGGCACCCCGGGUGAGGAGAACCACACAUACCCGUUGAAUCACUGCCAGGCGAGAAGAACCACACAUACCUGCAGUUAUGAUUCCUUUGCCAUCUCUUUUACCACGAUUUCCACCGCUUCUUUUGCGGCCACAUCACUAGGGAUUCCGGAAUCCAUUUCACAUAGCUCAAGGGUUGGCCUCAAACCCUAUGUUAUUGACCUAUUUAGGUCCAAUGUCCUUUUUACCCUAGGUCCAACUGACUCUAGGUUCAAUGCCUCUAUCACAUAACCUAGGUUUAUUUUAACUCUAGGUUCAAUCCAUAACUUAUGUUCAUGACACUAGGUUAAUGCCACAUACCUAGAUUUAGUUAACUCUAGGUUCAUUCUCAACCUAUGUUCUUUAACACUAGGUUAGAUGCCAUUCGACCUAUGUUUAGUAACACUAGGUUCAUUGUCAUUCAUGUUCAACCUAUGUUUAAUACACUAGGUUAAGUGCCACUCGAUCUAUUCGACAUCCUAAUUGUCCACAUCGAAUUCAAUAGAUAUCCACAUUUUAUCUAGCAUGCAUUAUAUGAUGCCAGCAUGCAUAUUCUUUCUAACAUGAUCUACAACAUGUUAACAUUCAUAUCUAUCUCUCAUGAUCUCUUAAUGCCAUUAUGCAUUUACCAUCUAGAGCUUGCAUUUAACAAUUAGAACAUAUUCAUAAUGUGGUAACAUGCAUAUAAACUAGCAUUUUCUCAUCAUGUCAUCAUACAUGUGUUAACUAGCAUAUUUACAUUAUGUCAUUAACAUGCAUUCUUUACAAUAUGCUCACAUGUAUUAUUUAGCAUUAUCUACAUGCAUCAUCUAGCAUUUCUAUAACAUGCUCAUCGUGCAUUCUAUGGUAGUCAUAGCAUAGCAAUUAACAUGCAUUCACCUAGCAUUUAACCCUUGCAUUCAUCUACCAUUUAUAUGCAUCAACAUGGAUUUUUAAUUUUCUUAGACAUAAGGGCGACCUAGUCGCUUUGGUAAGCACAACCCACCUCUUAACGCGUUCCGAUUGCUUGUUGAUACUUGCAAUCGGCCUCCCGUGGCACCUGUUGCCCGGUUUGGCCCGAACUCUUGCACGACCACCCGAACGGCCACCAAUCCGCGAUACGUCUGUUCUGGAGUUUAUUCUUCAAUACAACGAUGCUCCAGAUCCGUUUUCGUGAUUUUUGGGGGUCUAUCCCGCGUGCUGCGGCUAUCUGUACCAAAACAGACCGUUUCGUCAGUAUCUUUACAACGGCUCGACGAAUACUCAAACCAAGUGCACGAAUGCGUUCGGGGACCUAACAAUUAGGUUUACAAAGGGUCAAUCGAGAUCAAACCCUCAUAUUUCCAAAACCCCCAAAAUUGGAGCCCUAGAUGCAAUUAUUGCUAAAUACUCCAAAUUAAUCAAAGAUUUAGACAAUAAUCAUCUCAUUAGCAUCCUAGGAUUCCAAAAAUAUCAUUUCUAGAGAUCAAAACCCAUAUUCUAGAGUUCUACCAUUAAUGAGCAUCAAAGCUUAGCUCUCAAGCUCCUCCAAUGGUGAAGAAGGAGAUGAAGAAGAUGAUGGCCCACCUUCUUUGCUUCUUCUCCACCAAUCCCUCCUCCAAGAUCCACCUUUUUAGAGAGAGAGAAAGAGGGUUUAGAGAGAGAGAGUGUGUGUGUGUGGGUGAGAGAAAUGAGAGGGGAGAGCUCCAACCCCAUUCUAUACACCCUCAUAAUGCCAAAAUUGCAUAUAAACCCCUCAACUUUACCUCUCUUGCAACAGCCCGAACUGGGCAUUUUCGGGCUUCAGGGACCGGUCCUUGCGAUGAGGAACCGGUCCUGAGAGACCGGUCCCCGAAGGUCCAGAAAUCAGCCUUCAAGGACUUCGCCAAAUUUUCAGCAUUUUCGCCCGUUUUCGUCCGUUUUCGCUCGUUUGACCUCCGAUUCUCCUCAAAUCGAACCGAGACUCUCCAAACAUGUUUUCAAUCAUGUUUUUAUCAUAUUUUCAUCCACGCUAAUGCCGGAUUUAGCUCAUGGUCCAAUAUAGCCUUUCGGAUUCCGUUUUCGCGCCUACGCGCACCGAAACGCACGAUUGCUCCCGAACUUCACCGAACUUCACCGGAACCAUUCAAAUGGCUCUCCAACCAAAUGUACACCGUAACUUCAUGAUUUUAGAAGUCCGGUACCUUACAAUUACUGACUUCAGUGAAAAGCACCACUAGGCCCAAGAACUAAGAAAGUAAGUACGAAUCGAUAAGCAAUAUGAAUAACAUGUAUUUAAACAUGAAUACUUACUAUACCAUGAUAUCUCUACUUAGCAUGAAUUUGCAUAAGUAUGAUACUAUUCUAACAUGUAUAUGCAUGAAUAUACAACCAACAUGAUAUCCACAAUGUAAUUAGUAAGAUGUCAUUGUUUACUAUUCUAGUCAAUGUCCACUUGGCAUGUUACGUCACUAAAAUUUUAAUCCUGUAGGACCUACCCGUAGGUAGUCCGGCUGCCUAAUGGCACCGUGGUAGUCAACAUCCCCACUCUAGAAAUGAGUCUCCCCCAGGCAUCCCAUUUCGGCGCCCAAUCCCGCACGGGCGAGCAUGUGUCACUAUGGUUAUCUCCGGAGUGUCGGUUUGUGGGGCGCGACCCUCACAAGCAUGUGCGAAUGAGCACAAUGGCAAGCAAGCGUAAAAGUCCGUCUCAAGUCUCAAGUCAUCAUGGCUAAAAUAUGGAAUGUAGCAAAUGUCUCAAUGGCCUAUCAGUAUGUCAUUAUGUCUAAAACAUGGAAUAUAGUCGAUGUCCAAAUGGCCUGUCACUAUGUCUCUAUGUUACAGUUUCACAGUUUACUAAGUCGAGUGCCCCUUUAUGGCACUUUUGUCUAUUAAGUCCAGGCAUGAGUUUAAUGUUCAGGAGUACAUAAUUCUAGUCAUUUUUCUCAUAUGAGACAUGUUUCCAACUUUCAAUAAAGAAUACUUUUCACAUGGAUGCAUAAUGCACAUAUGGUAGAGUUGAAUUUUCAUGAUAUAUAACACAUGUAUUUUAUGUAUUCUAAAAUUCAUAAAAAUCCUAUCUAGCAUGAAUAUGCAUGCAUUUCGAUGAAAUGACAAGUACAGAUCACAUAGGAGACAUUUCUCCCGUAUUCCAUGAAGUCAAACCCACCGUGACUCUUGCAACCCUUCGUUCGAGCCGACGAAGGUGCCUACUACUCUCCUAGCACUCUAAAGGUAUAUAAAAGAGAGAUACAUGAACGUUACGAAUAAUCCAUAGCUCAAACAUUAAGCACCUCAAGCAAAGGUGAAAAACUCACCGAAUGCGAAGAAACCGCUCUCGAUCUCCAAAUGGGAGGUAGAGGCCUUCCAAACCAACCUAAACCAAGGUUCUAAACCAAUCAAUUUGGUUCGACUAGCAUUUAAUCCAAAAUCUCCAAAAUAAACCCUAAGUUCCAUUUCUAGGAUUUCAUUUAGUAAAAGCUACUAAAACAAGAAUCAAAGAGAGGAUUAAGCUCACUAACCUCACAAGAGCCCCAAAUUAAGCUUGCAAGAGAGCUAGGGUUGAAGUCCUUCCACUAUCAAGCUCCUAGCCAAAGCUCCAAAGCUCCUUCUAUGGUGGAAGUGCCACCAAGAUGCAAAAGAGACAAAAUGAGGUGAUUAAUCCUCAAAAAUCUCAACCCAAACCAAAGAAAAUCAAAAGAGGGAGUGGAGGGGGUUCCUUACCUUCAUCUCCUCUGAUUUCAGGCUCAAAAGACCAUAGGGGGCAUGGGGGUGUAGUUAUAGAAGAGCACAAUUGCAAAAACACCCCUGCAAAGUAGCCAUUUCGAAAUCUGUCAAAGUGUAGCGAUACACGGGAAACUAUACCGGUACAAAUCCCCCGAACAUACAAACCCGAGCCUCGGGUUCGCCAUUCACCACAUUUGUAUCGGUACAACCAUCAAGGUGUAACCGGUACACUUUCUAUACCGGUACAACCAUCAAGGUGUACCGGUACACAAUUCUGCAGAAAGCAACCCGAGAGCAGCCUAAGUCCUCCACUUUGGUGACCUUAGCGCUACUUUAAAUACCUCAAUUCUCGGGAUACGAGGCAUGGGUCGGAGCACUGUCAACGGCCCUCUAGAAUAUCUGGAAAAACUCGGAACACUGCUCAAACACUCGAACCUCGCAAUUUGCAAAGGUCCAGUAUGUUACAAUUCACCCUCUCAUUAACCCUCAGCUGGCUGAGGAUGGAGUGAGAGAAGAGGUAAGUUUUUUCUCUUCCUCUCUUGAUUUUCUUCUCCAAAUCCUUGCAUUUUUCGGUUUUGAUCUCUUUUUUCUUCCUCUCAACCAUAAAUGCUUGCACCUUAGAGCUUGGAGUUGAUGAAAGGAGCUUGUUGGUGGAUCAAACUUCAACCUUAGCACUUCAUGACUUGAGUUGAAGCUUGUUUAGAGGUUAGUAUUUUUCUCAUGUUCUCUAUUUAAGAGACUUGCAAGAGCUUUGGGAGAAAACCUAAUUUUUGGAAAACUAGGAUUUAUUUUGGGAUUUUCUAAUUUUGAGCUUUUGGGAUGAGAUUGAUGAGUGUAGAACACUCUUAUAGGUUGGAUUUCAAGCUUCUUAGCUUCGAUUUGGACUUUGGACAAGUUCUACUUGAUCAAAGGUAAUUUUCACCUAUUUUAUGCUUAUUUUUUGGUGAAUUUUGUGGUUAGCAUUUUAGAAGCUUGUAACCCUUUGAAAAUUUUUCAUAGGGUGCUCGGAGACUUGUGGACAACUUCGUUUGGAGAAACGAAUAAGUUCGGAGGUGAUUCAGUGGGUUUGACCUUACCGAAAUGGGUGAACUCCCUCUAUGUCUCCUAUAAUGUUAUAGGGUUUAAAUUGUUGCAUAAUCGAUCAUGCCAUUCAUGUCAUGAUAGAAUUUUCGGAUACUUGAUAUACAUAUAUUAUGUAUGAUAUUUUGCAUACUCUAUGUAGUAGAGACAAUUUGACAUAGGUGAAGUUGUAAUACUUUAUUUAGUAGAGGUGAAGUUGUCAUACUCUAUCUAGUAGAGGACAUUUUGCAUGCUCCAUGUGGUAGAGAGCAUUUGAUAAAAUCAUGUAUAUUAUACCUAUAUAAUCGUAGUAUGAUGACUAGUUCCUCUUAUGUAUAUAUAGGAAUACAUGCUAGAGAUGAAUAAAAGUAUUAUAUGAGACACUAUAUAGUUAGUGUAAGUGUUGGAUUCACACUCGUAAGGCAACUUGUAAUAUACCGAAACUUCAGUAGAGUAUAUCGAACUUUAGUCAAAUUGACCAAAGUGUGUGAGAGAAAUGAACUUUAGUCAAAUUGACAAAGUCCAAGUGACAUUCCAACAAUAUUGGAAGGGUUAGAGUUGAGUUUCAAGGGUUUUAGCAUUACUCGGCGUGAAUUGGAGUCGAAACAAUGCAAAACUGCAGUCUGAAGCAUUGUUAAUCGGUAAAGCAUCAGGGGAGUAUCGGUACCAGGCAGGCACCUGAGAGUAGCAGCUCUCGGGUUUGGCCUUUAUCAAGCUGUUAAUCGGUGACUAAAUCAGGUAGUACCGGUACCCUGCGCCAACCCGAGAAAUAGUAGCUCUCGGGUUUGGGCAGUUGAACAGGGGCGUACCGGUGACGCCCACCCGCGUACCGGUGCGUAGUGCUGCGAAACAGCAGGUUGGUCUGCUGCAAAUAAUAAGAAGUGGAGGGUUUGGUUGCAAUUGUAACAGCUUAUAAAACCCCUCACCCCUCUCCUCUCUUGUUCACAGCAGUGAACCCACCAUCCUCUCUCAUUUCUCUCUCCCUCUCUUCCUCUAGGAGCUCUUCCCCAAGGUGAAAGGAGGAGAUCUAGAGGAGGAUUUUGAGGAGAUUUAAAGUUUUGAAGGCUUUGGAGCUCACCUACAAGGAGAAGCUUGGUGAGCUUUUGGGCUAAGGUGAGGUUUUAUGUAAGAACUAGGCUAGGGUUUGGUUUUAUACCCUAUAACACUUGGAUUUGAUCUUCUUGCAAGAUUAGAAACCCUGUAGAAACCAUGGAACUUCAUGAAAUCCAUGUUUCUUCAUGUGCUCUCAUGGUAGUAUUCUAGGGUUAGUUCAAAUGCCCUAAGAAUGAUUUAGAUUAGUUCUAGAUGAGUUUCUAGAUGAUGAUUAAGCUUGCUUUUGCUUGUCUUAGAGAUCAAAAUGGUGUAUUGGGCAAAUGAGAUUAUUAGGGCACCAAAAUUUGAGACUUUUGCCCUAGGUUGGUUUAAAGGUAAAUUGACCUUCUAGAAACCAAAUUAGGAAUAUUUUCAAUUCGUUGGUGGACUCGGUUCGCCGAUCCGACGAGCCUACGAAAAGAUAUUGAGAAAAAGCCUAAUUUGGCUUCAUUGUGCCACAGGCGAGAGAAUAGGCGCCCAAAAAUUACGAAACUUGAACCGUAGCACCUUUACAACUAUACGAGGUGGGUGGUACUUUCCGAAAUCGAUGAAUUUUCUUUUAUGUCUAAAGUGUCAUUUUUGAGCAUAUGUGACUAUAGCUUUUUCAUGCAUUGUAGGGUGAUUGAGAUUAUGUUGGUAUGUGUUGUUGCAUGUUGUGAGUACAAAUGCAUAUGAGAUGAUGGUAAAAUAUUGAGAACAUGUAAAAUCCUAUGUACGCAUGAAUAGUGACAAAUACCUAGAUGAGGUAAAUAACUAAAUGACAUUAUGACAUAUGAAUUGUGUGGCAUUAGCAAACAAAUGAAUGCUAGAAAUUGGACUCUUAGUUGAGUGGCAUCAAUGAGUUUUGAAUGCUAGAGUGAACACUUAGUGUGGCAUUAAUGAGAAUAAUGAAUGCAUGAAAAUGAGUUAAAGAACACUUAGUGUGUGUGUGGCAUCAUGAAAGAAAAAGAAUGCAAGUAAAAUGAGAUAGCUGACAUUAUGACAUAACAACCUUAUAGUUAAGGGUCAUAUGAGUAUUGCAUCCUUAUAGUUAAGAAUUGGAUUGAACUUGGAAUCCUUAUAGUUAAGGAUUGAUCAUACUCACCUAUAAGUCUUGGCUUGAGGGCGGUCGCACCCCCUCGAGCGAUGAGCUCCGGAGUAGUCAUCAUUGGGUCAUAGUAGUCUCCCCAGAAGACGGUCCCAUCGGGUCGCAGUAGUCUUCCCGAUAAUUGGGAUUAUGAGUUGGUGAGUUGUAGGCAAGCCUACGGGUUGGCCAUGAGAUUGGGUAAUGAAAAAGUGCUCUUGCAUUCAUUAUGAGCAUUCUAUUGAGCAUAUUAUUGAUUAUAUCUUGUUCAGUCAUAUUAGCUGCAUUUAUUUAGUUGGUUACUAUCUAUCUAUUCUUCUAUUAUGCCUUAUUUACACCUAGUAGGAAAGUCGGCGAGGUCGGCGGUUGAACCCAUUGGAAAUUUUGUUGUAGUUCUCACCCACUAUUUCCACAGAGCCGGGACCGAGUGAGCUGGCCGACGAUCGCGGUAAAGGUAUGGCGCCAUAGACAGAGACCGCCCGAGUUGGUUUCAUUUUGCUUAGUUGCAUAUCCUAUAUAUAUGUCAUCUUUUGUCUUUGAUGAUGUUAGCAUUAUGAACAUGGUAAAUGUUGUAAAGAGAGCUUAUGGUUAAAUAUAAAAAGCUUAUAUUUUGGAAGAAAUGUUAUGUUCAUUUUGUGACCAUGUGAUGUAUAAAAGAAAUAAUGAAAUGAAUGUAAAGGGAUUUAGAUGUUGAAUGCAUGUAUGUAGUUGAAAGUUAAUCAUAUUACUUGUAUGAAUAUUUAGUUUUGUACUUUGACUUUGGCUAUUGCUUGCCUUCGUGCGAGCCAUGUAUAUCUUUGUUUCGCUGUGUAGAAUUUAUAUAUACAUGAUUUAUACUUGUGUUGAGCCUUGGGCGAACAAAAGAGAUGCUGUCCGUUCGGCGUCUGUUCGACGUGCUCGAACCGACCAAAUAGGCCGGUCCUGGGGUGUGACCAACUAAUAUACUUGCUUUAGAUGAAGGUGAACAUGACAUAUUGCAUGUUAGUGACAACUGUGGUCUUAAGCAAGUUGCAUUAAAUUUAGUUGAAUAACUAAAGCUGAUCUUGUGAGGUUGCACUCAACUCCUAGGUCAGUAGAUAAAGAUUCCAUGUUAGACAUGAUGAAAGAGUUUCCUUAUAUUUUCAAGUAUAUAUAUCGAUGGCAUAUGCAUAUGAUUUCUUAAAUUUAUUGGAAAGUAAUGCUUGCAUGAUAACUUUUAUACUCCAUGUAGUAGAGGCUAUGUAGCAAGUCAUAUGCGUGAUAUGAACCAUCAUUUCGUUGACAUCUUUAUAGUUCAUUGAACAUGACAAUUGUGAGUUGAUCUUUUCAUACUAGUGGAAAUGGUGCAUGUUAUAACCACUUUAGGGUCUUGAAUGACAUAUGAUAUAUUGGUAGAGGCAUACCUCUAAGUUCAUUGGAAAUGAAAUAUGACAUUUAUGCAUAGUACUCGACCUUGAGUGGGGGGUUGGAAUUCCAUGUUUUAGACAUGAUGAUUUAGGCUGAUUGCCUUGGACAUGACAUAUAUGAUCACGCUUGCUUGCCAUUGUGCUCAUCGCACAAGCUUGUGAGGGUUGCUCCCUACAAGCCGGCACUUCGAAGUUAGCCUUUACGACAACAUGCUCGCCCGUGCGGAAUUGGGCGCCUAAGUGGAUUGCUGUGGGGGAGGCUAAUUCCUAGCUGGGGAAUGUUGACUACCACGAGCCAUUAGGCAUGGCACAAGCCGGGACUGUACCACGUGUAUGUCCCUUGUUGAUUGGGUAAAGUUAAUUAAAUUUGACACUAGUUAAUGCAUAUCUAAUAAAUGGACAUACUAGUGGGUUGUUACUUUAUGUUACUACUUGAUGCAUUCAUAGUAGUUAGACAUUCUUGUGGGACAUUGUUCCAUUGACAGCCUUAACGAUAGUAAGCCUACACUCAUGAUGUUUAAUAUAGAAAUGUAGUUCAUGAUGACACUAGCCAUUUGAAGUCAACGACAAUGUAAGACUUGUUCUAUAAUAACUGUUUAUAGCUUAAAGGUGGACUAGCAUUCAUAUUUUGCAUAUAUAAAUGAUUGUGCAUGUGACAAUAGGAAAUCAUAUACAUGUUAAUUGACAUAUCAUGUAGAGGUAUGACUAUUAUUGAAUUUGUUCAAUUAUUGUUAGCUCAUGUUUAAUACUUCUUGUAUUAUAUUCAUGCCUCAGUUGGUCUAGUGAUAUAUUUUGCCACUCUCGGCGGCUUACCUACUGGGAACUAUUGUUUAAUAGUUCUCAUCCCCAUUGGUUGAUUGUUUUUGUUUCAGAGAAUUCCGCAGCGGAAAAUGCCAGGGAUCGUGGCAAGGGGGCAGCGACUAGCUAGAGCGUCUCGAUAUUGUGAUAGAUGGACCCGUAGAAUUCUUUCUUUGAUUUAGUUUAAGGAUGUAUAAUUGUAUAUUAUGUGAGAUUCCUAGUAUUCUUGUUGUACCUCUUGAUUAGCUUAUUGUAAUCUUGAGAUGUAUUAGUUGUAGAAUUUUGUAUCUAGUUGUUUUAUAUUCUCGCUCUGAUUACCAUAUUUAGGAUGGAUCAUAUUUCUCUUUAUGAUUGUUGUAGACGCCAGGUGUACAUCGGGGAUGUUUGGUGUGCACAACGGGUCUGUGCGCGCACCUGAUGGGUUUCCGCUGUGGCCCGGGGCGUGACAAACGACCAAUGCGCAAUGUAAGUUGUUAUGCACUAAUGCCAAGGACUUCUUUCUUAGUGUUGUUUCCUAUGGUGACAUAAUGGCCGCCAGCAGCUACCCGAUGGUAAUCUACGUAUCCUGCUUGAUCUCUCGUUACAUGUUUUGUUGCUCAUGUGUUUACAAUCCAAUCAGACAGUGUGUCAGCAACAAAAACAUGUGAACAUACAUAAAUAAGAGUGUUAGAAUUAGCAUUUACUUUUUUCGGCUCAGUGCAAUCAUGAGCGAAGUGUCACGCCCCGGGACCGGCGGAGGCCCUCCCGGUAGCGUGCCCAGACCCGCCAUAUGUCUAUACAAAUAAGGCGUCUACAAUAAAAGCGAAAGUAAAAGCAAGUAAUGGUACAAAUAGAAUAGUAACAACUAAUGAUAUCAAAGCGAGUAAAGUUCUAUCAUCUACACCAAGGUAAAGAAACAAAGCUAGACAAUAAAAGAAACCAUAAGUAGUACACUAUCAGUCUCAAAAGUACAAAAAUGGUGGUCUCUAGUACACUGGUAAAACUCUCAACCUCUCGCAAAAAGAAAUAUAAAUCGAGAGGUAGACCACCUAGCAACUCGUCCUCGAAGGAAGCUAGCUCGAAGCAACUCCCUUCCCGCGAUCCCUGGCCUCACCCUGCGUGGAAGGCUCUGAAAAAUAUCGAGAAACAGAGGGCGUGAGAACUAUAAUUUAUAGUUCCCAGUGGGCAAUUACUGACCUCAGCUCAUUGCUCCACUAGGCCCCAAAAGAAAAAAAGAGGUAAAUCCAACAACGAUAGUAACGAGUAAAUUGCAUAUAUGAAAGCAUAAUUAAGAUGCUAAGCUAUAACUUGCAAUUAAACAUGGCAUUUAUAAUGCAGCUUUACCUUGUCAUGGGUAAAAUAUAUCUAUAUGUCCCCAAGUAAUAUCAUGGUCUACUUUAUACAGAUAUGAAAGUGAUACUUUGUCAUGACUACAAUGCAUGUAAGGAUGUAAUAAACAACAUCUCCUAGCAUACUACAUGUAUGUAUGAAUACCCAAAUGUCCACAUCUAUGCUAGAAGCAAGCCCAAGUAAUCCAACUACUACUCUCUGUCUAGUAGUGAUUAUCACGCACUCAACAUUGUCUCGGUUUCCAUUUCCAAUUAGGGACCUACCAAAGGUAGUCCAGCUUGUGCCGCCUAAGUGCUGUGGUACCCCGACAUCCCUACUCUUGGAAUGUGUCUGUCCCACUCGACCCCGUAGGUUUUUCAAUACCGCACGAGCGAACAUAAGUCACGUAGGCUAACUCCGGAGUGCCGGCUUGUAGGGAGCGACCCUCACAAGCAUGUGCGAAUGAGCACAAAUGGCAAGCAAGCGUAGUCCAAGUCUCAAGUGUCCAAUCCUCAUGUCUCUAACAUGGUAUCAUAACUAGCAUUCCGAAGAUCUAGUCUAAGUCACAAGAUGAAGUUCCAACAUUCAUUACGCCUAGUGUCCCUUGAUGACACUUAGACAAUCUAAUGUUCAACAUAUACCCAAUCCCUCAAUGGCUCUAACCACUAGGUUCACACAUGUCCCGAGCUCAAUGCCGCUUGACGACAUUAGCUCUCAAAUUCACAUACAUUCUAGUUCGAUAGCUCUAUAUGGCAAUUUUGUCAACUUUCAUGUCUCAAAUAAACUUAGGUUUAAAUGCAUGAAUCCAAUCUCAUUUACACUAUAGGAGCAUGAAACCACGUCUCAUAUAGAAUGCUAAAUGCAACUAUAGGCCUACCAAGCUACUUUCUACUAUAUAGAGGUCCAAAAUUUCAUCAUAUAUAACAUAGACCUUUUAAGCAUUCUAAAAUUCACAAUAAAUACAUAUAACAAGAAUAUGCAUGCUUUUUCAUUUAACGAUACUUAAUUAAGCACAAAUGAGAAUUUCUCAUUGUGUGGCUAGGUCAAACCCACCGAACCGUCGCGUAGGGCCUCGUUUCGCCGAACAAAGUUGUCCCCGAGUCUCAAAAUACCCUAAAAGGAUUGAGCGAAAAGAUUCACGGGCAUUACGAUCAACUAUAAGAUCAAACUUUAACAAAUUUAGCAAAAGGGCUAAAACUCAGCCAAUGCGUGGAAAAUCUCUCUCAAGCUCCAAAAGAGAGCUAAAUCCCGUCCAAUCCAAGCCCAAGGAAGGUUCUAAUCCAACCAAUUUAGGUCCAAAAGCCCUAGAUAAAAAAUGCCCAAAUAUAAGCCCUAAAACCUCAUGUAGGGUUUCAUCUCAAAGAAACCUCCAAAAUUCAAAUCUAGAGGAAAAGAUCUAGUCACUUACCUCUAGGAAGCUUCAAACCAAGCUCAAAGUCCUCAAACUUCAAAGAUCAACCCUCAACCAAGCAUAAACCCAAGCUCUAAUGGUGGGAAAAGCCUCCAACACCCAAAAAGGAGCAAAAAGAGAGGCUUUAAUCUCUCUAAAGCCAAAUAAAACCAAAGGAAUCAAAGGGGAGAGUGUGGAGGGCUCCCUUACCUCUUCUCUUGCUGGUCCCAAGCUCAGGGAGAGCCCUAGGGGCGUGGAGGUACUAAUAGAGAUGCCACAAUCGCGAAAAACCCCCUGCAGUUCAAACUGCUCAGAAUCUGCCAAAGUGUACCGGUACACGGGAAAGUGUACCGGUACACAUCCUACGAAAAUGCAAACCCGAGGCUCGGGUUUGAAAUUCGCCACAAGUGUACCGGUACAACCAUCAAAAGUGUACCGGUACAAAAUGUGUACCGGUACAGCCAUCGACGUGUCACCGGUUACACCUCGUGCAGAAUGCAAUCCGAGGGUAGGCUAAGUCCAACUCUUUAGUGACCUUAGCGCUACAUAAAAUACUACAAUUCUCGGUAUGCGAGCCAUAGGUCGGAACACUGUCAACGACCCACCAGAAAGUCUGGAAAAACUCGGGACACUGUCCAAACACUCGAACCUCGCAAUUUGCAAAAGUCCAGUGCGUCACAUUCACCCCUCCUAAAAAGGAGUUUCGUCCGCGAAACUCGAAAGCAAACGCCGUACCUCAAGACUCCAUCUGAAAAAGAUGGGGAUAGCGCUCCUGGAGCGCGCUCUCUAGCUCCCAAGUGGCCUCGCGCUCGUCGUGGUUGCUCCAAAGCACCUUCACGUAGGGGAUUUCCCGGUUCCGCAAUUUUUUUACCUCGCGAGCCAAAAUCCUCAAAAGUUGCUCCUCAAAGCUCAAAUCCUCCCGCAGCUCCAUAGGUGUAGCAUCCAACACAUGAGCCGGGUCGUGAAUGUACUUCUGAAGGACCGAUACAUGGAAUACAUUGUGUACACCCGAUAGGUUUGGCGGUAGAGCGAGUCGAUACGCUAACGGGCCUACACGCUCCAAAACCUCGAACGGUUCAAUGAAUCGGGGGCACAACUUACCCCAGAUUCCAAACCUUUUGAUCCCUCGAGUCGGCGAGACUUUUAAGAACACAUGGUCUUCAAUCUGAAACUCCAAGUCUCGUCAACGCCGAUCAGCAUAACUUCUCUGCCUACUCUGGGCUGUCAACAAUCGCUCCCGAGCAAUGCGAACCCUGUUCUCUGCUUCCUGGAGCACAUCAAUGCCUAAAGCCAAUCUCUCGCCAACUUCACCCCAAUGAAGUGGCUAUCUACACUUCCGUCCAUAGAGUGCCUCGAACGGUGCCAUCUUGAUGCUUGCUUGAUAACUGUUGUUAUAAGCAAACUCUGCCAUCGGUAGAUGCUGCGACCAUCCUCCCUGGAAGUCAAUCACGCAGGCUCGAAGCAUGUCCUCGAGGGUCUGUAUCGUACGCUCCGACUGCCCGUCACUCUGGGGGUGGAAAGCAGUGCUGAAAUCCAACCGCGUACCCAAAGCGUCCUGUAAGCUCCUCCAAAAGUGGGAUACAAAAUGGGGAUCUCGAUCCGAUACUAUAGAAGUAGGUACCCCAUGUAGUCGCACUAUCUCAUCCAAAUAAACCUGUGCGAGUUUCUCACCAGUCCAAGUAGUGUGGAUAGGUAUGAAAUGUGCCGAUUUCGUCAACAUAUCCACAAUCACCCAAAUAGCGUCAUGCCCGGCCUGUGAGCGAGGCAAUCCUAUCACGAAAUCCAUGGUGAUCUUUUUCCACUUCCACACUGGAAUCGGUAGGCUCUGCAACUUCCCUGCGGGAACUCGGUGCUCAGCCUUCACCUGUUGGCAAGUCAAACAUCUAGCAACAAACUCACCAACAUCCUUUUUCAUCCCGGGCCACCAGUAAAGCAACUUCAAGUCCUUAUACAUCUUGGUGCCUCCCGGGUGUAUAGCAUACGGUGCUCGGUGUGCUUCUUGAAGAAUGUCCUCUUUAAUGCCCGAGUCCGCCGGCACACAAAGUCGUCCACGAAAACGCAUCAAUCCAUCACCGUCUAAAGCGAAGUCACCGGUGCAACCAUCAACCAUUUUAGUUUGAAUCUUUUGCAAUUCUAUAUCGAAAACUUGCUUUUCUUUAAUCCUUUCCAUAAGAGUAGGUUGCACCACCAAAGUCAUCAGCCUCAAAGGUGUAUCAGGAGCCACCACCUCCAGCUCCAACCGCUUCAUCUGCUCGAUCAACGGCGGUUGAGUAACCAUAAGCAUCGCUAAGUUCUUCGUCGAUUUCCGACUUAGUGCAUCCGCCACCACGUUAGCCUUGCCCGGGUGGUAAAGUAUCGUCAAAUCAUAAUCCUUGAGUAGCUCCAACCAUCUGCGCUGAUUCAAGUUCAACUCCUUCUGAGUGAAAAGAUACUUUAAGUUCUUGUGAUCUGUAUAUACUUCACACCGCUCGCCAUAAAGGUAGUGGCGCCAUAACUUCAAUGCGAAGACUACGGCCGCCAACUCUAAGUCGUGAGUGGGGUAAUUCCUUUCAUAUUCCUUCAAUUGGCGAGAUGCAUACGCGAUCACUUUCCCGUCCUGCAUUAAGACACAGCCCAAUCUAUUAAAGGAAGCAUCACUAUAAAUCACAUACCCUGCUCCAGCAGUUGGCAAGGUUAGGAUCGGGGCGGUCGUCAAUCGCUGCUGCAACUCUUGGAAGCUCCUUUCACACGCAUCAUUCCAAAUGAACUUGGUGCCCUUAUGCGUGAGCCUCGUGAGGGGAGUAGAUAACUUUGCAAAUCCCUCAACAAACCGUCGGUAGUAGCCGGCCAAACCAAUAAAGCUCCGAAUCUCGGUCACGCUCGUCGGCCUCGGCCAAUCCUUGAUAGCCUCAAUUUUCCUCGGGUCCACGGCUAUGCCUGAUCCAGAAAUCACAUGGCCCAAAAACGCCACCUCUCUAAGCCAAAAUUCACACUUUUUCAACUUGGCAUAGAGCUUCUUUUCCCGAAGCACUUGAAGUACAAGUCUCAAGUGCUCCUCGUGAUCCGCGUCACUCCGGGAAUAUACUAAGAUGUCGUCGAUGAACACCACGACAAAUCUGUCUAAAUAAGGCUUGAAAACACGGUUCAUCAGAUCCAUAAAAGCUGCCGGGGCAUUGGUAAGCCCGAACGGCAUAACAGUAAACUCAUAGUGUCCAUACCGUGUUCUAAAAGCCGUCUUCGACACAUCCUCAGGUCUGAUCCUCAACUGGUGAUAUCCCGACUGUAAGUCAAUCUUGGAAUAUACACAAGACCCCUGGAGCUGGUCAAAUAGAUCAUCAAUC
rnacentral:lncRNA from 1 species